rnacentral:misc_RNA from 1 species
GGAAGUAAAAGUUGUAACAAGGUAUCCGUAGGUGAACCUGCGGAAGGAUCAUUAUUGUAUAACCGAGGUGCGAGGGCUGUCGCUGACCCGAAAGGUCGUGCACGCCCGAGUGCCCUCACACACAUCCAUCUCACCCCUAUGUGCACCACCGCGUGGGUCCCCCUUUGGCUUGUUCGGAGGGGGGCUUACGUUUUCACACAAACUUUGUAUGCAGUGUAGAAUGUAUUUUUUGUUUUUGCGAUCACGCAAUCAAUACAACUUUCAACAACGGAUCUCUUGGCUCUC